UAAAAGUUUAUUAUAAGAUACAAUCCCUUUUAAAAUCAUUCACGGUCCAAGCUAGGCAUGUUCGAGGCCCACUUGAGUCCUUAUGCCCAAAGCUUGUGGGCCAGCCCUGCCUGAUUUGGCAGGCUUGUACAUUAGGGUUGCCGAUAGGUUGGACUCGGCCGUUCCAAGCUAGGUACAAGUCCAGGCCCAAUUUAUAAAGCCAAAUCGAGGCCACUGGCCUAAGAAGGCAAUCCAAGCUCAGCCCUACAUUGUGAGCAGCCUGCUUGGCUGCCCUACUUGUCCCUCCCUUACAGACACUUCCUCUCUGUCUUCUAUUGGUCACCAAACUAGGUUGCCCUCCCUCGAAUGUUGGUACUCAGGAUAUAGAAAAAAGCCAUUUGGAUUGGGAUCACUCGAUUUGGAUUGGAAAUUGUAGGCUCCACGCCAUCUUUACUUAAAUCAGAUGCUUCAAUAAGUAUAUAUUAUGGGAAAACUUUUUAUACUUCUCCUAUAGUAUAAAACUUAUACAUUUCUCCCUAUCCAACUGUCCAUUUUGAAUGGACGGCUCAUAUGGCCCUAAUCACAAUGUCACAUCUCUACACUAUUUUAUUUUUAAUUUUUUUUAUAAAAUAUUUUCAUACCAAAUUUUGGGCGUCCACUUUUAUUUUAAACUCGUAACUAAUAAAAAAAUAUCAAAAACAUAUUCCCAAUAAAAUAAAAUAACCAAAAUUCCCCUGAAAGUUUCAAAGGUAUUUUGGUUAUUAUAUUUUAUGAAAAAUAUUUUUUUAAUAUUUUUUUUAGGUGCGUCCCAAUGAGAUGAUGACACAUACCAAAUCUUAUAUUCAUAUAAAUUUUCAUUUAAAAAACUUAAAAAUAAAAUACUUUGAAGCUUUAGAUCACUUGAUCUAAAAUUGGAGGGUUGGAUGGGGGAGACGGCAUAGCCAAUUCCACCAUACUAUUGGGUUUGUAUCAAAUGGUCAGGGAUUUGAGCCCUAUGGUUUCCAUCCUCCAACAUCUGAAACACAACCAAGCACUUUUAAUUCUCCGGAUUAGGAUCCGGGGACAGGAUGAUCGGUAUUUUAAGUUUUUCGAAAAAAGAAAAAGUUUAUGUAAACUUGCAACUAUACACCAAGGAAGUAAGGCGCAUCUCAAGAAUCCUUUAGAAGGGAGUGUUAUGAAAUUGGAGAAUCUUCAAAUUGAUCAUCAUGACAUGGAGAUGUGUGGAUUUAAAGGAAAAAAAUAUAAUUUCAAGUCCUAAAAAAAUAGUACAUCAUGUAGUAAAUUCUUUGAAUGGUCUAUUUUCAAGAUUAUUAUGUGUUUAUAAAUUUGUUCAAUUUGUACUAUUUUGUAAAAAUUAAAUUUUAUAACUAAAGAUAAAAAUAGAUUUCCAAGCUAAUACAAAGUACAUGACACUGAAACUACAUUUUCAAGUAAAUUUUAGAGGUGCAUCUUGCUUCUACAAGAGUGCGCCUUAUACAAACGGGAAAGCUUAUAAAUCAGCCACUGCCUUUUUCAUAGCCAGUGGCUGAUUUAUGCGCCUUACACAAAUCAGCCACUAGCUGUUUCAUCUAGAUUUGUUGUCUUAGCAUAUUUUAUAAUUUCUACAAAUCAUAUGAAUAUGAAAUUUGGUAUGUGUCAUCAUCUCAAUGGGAGGCAUCAAAAACCAUAUUGGAAAAUAUUUUCAAAAAUAAAAUAACCAAAAUGCCCUUGAAAGUUUUAGAGGUAUUUUGGUAUGUUAUUUUAUCAGGACAAUUUUUUUAUAUUUUUUGCAACGACGAGUUCAAGAGAUGCAUGGAUGCCCAAAAUUUAGCAUCAAAAUAUUAUGUAAAUAAAACAUAAAGAAUCAAGCAGUGUACAAUCGUGACAUUAUGAUUGGGGCUACCUCAGUUGUCCAUCUAGAUUAGACGGCUAGAUAGGGAGAAUUAUAUAACACUAUAUUACUUACUUAAAAGAGUAUUAUUACUAAAUGGACACAGGUUUUACAAGUCCAUGUAGAAAUGAAUCACCUCUUAAAAAUCAAUUUUUGAGAUCGAUUUUUGCACCUAAUUUUCAAGGACAUGUGUCUCUAACAUGGAGAUCAUAAAUAUGAAAAGAUAAAUAAAAUUUAAAAAUUAAAAUUAAUAAUUCUAUUAAGAAAAGGAAAAUUGUUUCAUGAGGGCUAGAUAGCAUAUGCGGUUCAAAAAGUGUAAAGCAUCCAUCUUAAAGAUAGAUGCAAAUAGGUGUUUUGGUGUUUUAUCUAAAAACAAUCGAAACUAACGGUCCAAAUGUUCUUUUACGAGAAUUAUUAUUUUUAGGUCUUAAAAUUUAUUUAUUUUUUCAUAUUCAUGAUCUCCAUGUUAGAGAUUACGUAUCCUAAAAAAUUAAGUCAGUAAAAUCUAUGUCAAAAAUAGGUUUAUUAAGAGGCCCGCAUUUCUACAUACACGGGCUUGGCUGCAUAGAAACCAGGUCCUUAAGAAAAUAUUUGGACAGUUAAUUUCAAUCGUUUUAGAUGGACCACCUAUUUUAAGAUGGAUGGUUUAUAUCUUGGGGACCACAAAUGUAGAAAUUCGGUCCCCGUCGCAUGAUACAAUGGUCCAGUAAUACUAACCAGGUUAGGUUCAAUGUCUUUUGCUCCAUGGCCAGAGUCGCGCGUAAACGAAUUUGAAAGUUUGAAAGUUGAAACCAUGGCUCCCCACUUAUCAAA
rnacentral:lncRNA from 1 species